rnacentral:lncRNA from 1 species
AUGAAGGUGAGCAAAUUUCUUUUUUUGUCGUCUUUUUCUGGGGGACUAAUCCUUUUUAACUUUUCUUUUCUGAAAGAUUCAAAGGAGUCUUGUAGAAUCCAGAAGUACAGGAGCCUGAAGUUGAGGACAGUGUGGCUUCCACACAGGAACCUACUUCCACGCUGCAUUCCCAAUACCAGAGAAAGUCGGCAAAAAAGACAGGUAAAGAAACUGCUGUCAAAAGAAGCUGGACAACAGAUGAAUGUGCGGCAGUAGAAAGGCACCUAAGGAAAUUCAUUGUGAGGAGCCAAGUUCCAGGGAAAAAGGACUGUCAGCGCUGCGUUGAUGUAGAAAGGCACCUAAGGAAAUUCAUUGUGAGGAGCCAAGUUCCAGGGAAAAAGGACUGUCAGCGCUGCGUUGAUGCAGAAGCUCAAGCUUUAGGAAAUCGAGACUGGAAGGCGGUAAAAUACUUCAUCAAAAAUCGUAUUUCUGCCAUAAGAAGGAAAGUACAGUGAAAUACAGGUAGCUCAACGUAUUGGAUGCCUUCCCACUAGCAUUCACAUCGGGACAUGUUCUAAGUGUUUUCAACAGUUGAAAUUUAGUUGUUCUUUAUUGUAUUAUCCUCUUAAAGGGUUAGUUGUCACCAUUUACUCUUAUUUGUCAUUUCAAACCCAUAAGAAAUUAGUUCAUCUUUGGAACACAAAAUAUGUUUUGAAUGUUUCCUCCAUUGUUUGCAUUGCCGCUCUGUCCAUUACUUGAGGGGUUCCGAUUGCAUUAGGCAGUUUGUGAAUGAAUGUGAUGACAUCAAACACCCCAAAGCGCUAACCUCAACAAAACUAAGGAAACGCAUUGCUAUCUGUUCAUCCUAAACUUUCAAGCUUCAGAGCAUUUAUAACGUGGAAGUAAUCCAUGUGGUUUAAUCCCAGUUUUGUGAUGUGAAUGCUCUCUCACUUAAUCCACCCACUUAACAUUAUCCAACAAUUGCAAUAACUGUGAACUGGACUUUGCAUUGAUGCAGCACACUCCAUUAUACACAUUUUCUGGUUAAAAGGGAUUCUUUGCCUCAUAUGCCCUUUUCCUUGUUUGUUAUAUGUUGCUCUGCCCUGUUUUUGUGCUAAUGUUGAUCUCACUUAAUCAAUCUAUUAUUCAUAUUAUCCACCAAUGCAAUAACUCUGAACUGGACUUUGCAUCGCUGCAGCGCACAAAAUUAUACAAAUUUGUCCUUAGGACCAAUGAUUAUUCACCUCAUAUGUGAUUUUGUGUUAUUACCAAAUAUAUGUUCAUUGAGGACAAAUCAUGUUUUAAAGUUGUUGUUUUUUAAUCCAGUGUUUAGUGUAAAAUAUUACUCACGGUAUUAGUGCUAUAAUUCCACAGGGUCUUAAAGUCUUUAUUCAUUAGAUGAAUAGGGAGUUUUCAUGUGAAGUCCUCAAUUUAAAGGAGUAUAUUAUCUUUAGGUCGCAGUCAACAUGACUGGCUAGGAACAUGACUUCAUUAGAAAUUGAAGAAAAAUAACCAUGGGACAAACAAGAUCCCCUUCAGCAAAACUGCACAGUUCAUUCAGUGACCAAUACAAUGCAGACAAAGUACAGGUGGCGUCCUGCAGACUGAAGCAGUUCAGGCUGUGACCAAUAUUUGAGGGCUCAUUGAUUUAGAAAAGUGUCUGGAGUGGCUUUUUUAUGCCAUGUUAAUGGCUAAACUAAUAUAGACGUGUGCGGAUUAAUUUAGAGGAUAUACAUUAUAAUCUAAAAAAGUUUAUAUGGUAAUCAAGGGCAAAUAAUGGAAGUAGUUGAUGUUUUACAGAUAGUGACUUUGGUCCCUUCUAAGAUAUAAAGAUUAGAAAUGUGUGUGUAUCUGUGAAAGUGGACCCCACAACUCCUAAAUGUUAAAUCCGGGCCCCACAAAUGACUCAAAAACGCAUGUGCAAACAAUUUUGUUUGAAUUUUGGUAUAUUGAAGUGAUAUUUCUUAUUAGGAAUUUUUUGUUAUCUUGCUUGAUUUUUUACAAGUCUGUAGAACCACUGGAAGUGCUGGACCCCACAAUUGGGCAAAAAACGGUGGUCCCCCUUAUGGUAGAAAACAAGUAAAAGUAAUAGUGUGUGUGUGUGUGUGUGUGUGUGUGUGUGUGUGUUUCAUACAAGAAAUGGGCCAUUCAGUUGGGAAUAUCAUCACAAAAGUCUCAACAUUUCUGAAUCAUCAAGAGUUAUCUUAAAAAUAUGCAACCAUAGAACACCAAUUACAGUAAAGAGAUCAGAAAGAUCAUUUUAAAGGGAUAGUGCACCUCUGUAUAUAUAUAUACAAGAAUCCAUGUACUAAUUUUACAUUUAGUAUGAAUAGGUUAAAAACAAUGUUUAUAGCAGUAAUAAAAGUACUGCACGCAUACAUUUUACAUUUAGUAUGGCUUUAAAGGUUUUUUUUUUUUUUUUUUUUUUUUUGUUUUUUUUUUUAUUUUUUUUAAUAAAUAAGUAAAACGGUUUUUUUUUAGUUUUUUUUUUUUUUUAGUUUUUUUUUUUUUUUUUUAUUUUUUUAAAAAUAAAAUGUAAAACAAAGAAGAAAAAGGUUCAAGACUCAUUAUGCAUCUGAACUGCUCCAACGAUUGGACACAGGUUGUGUCAGUAUAAAGCCAUUGAAAUGAGACAGAAACUGCUCUGUAAACAACCUAGAACAAAAAACAGCACAUUAGUCAGCAUUGUAAUGAGGGGAGAACAUAACAUCGCAUAUCCCCAUAGAAUGGUGUAAUGUGCUUGAGUGAUUUUUGCCAUCUGUUGACAACAUUUCGUAGGCAGGUAAUUUAUCACCGCAAACUGCAG